rnacentral:rRNA from 1 species
CCUACGCGUGGCAGCCGUGGGGGAUAUUGCACAAUGGGGGGAACCCUGAUGCAGCGACGCCGCGUGGGUGAAGAAGCAUCUCGGCGUGUCAAGCCCUGUCAGCAGGGCAGAAAAUGACGGUACCUGACGAAGAAGCCCCGGCUAACUACGUGCCGGCAGCCCCGGUAAUACGUAGGGGGCAAGCGUUAUCCGGCUUGACUGUGUGUAAAGGGGGCGCAGACGGCGGUGCAAGCCCGGAGUGAAAGCCAGGGGACGAACCACGGUACUGCUCUGGGAACUGUGUGGCUUGAGUGCGGGAGGGGCAGGCGGAAUGCCUGGUGUAGCGGUGAAAUGCGUAGAUAUCAGGAGGAACACCGGUGGCGAAGGCGGCCUGCUGGACCGCAACUGACGUUGAGGCCCGAAAGCGUGGGGAGCAAACAGGAUUAGAUACCCCAGUAGUC